GACGAACGCUGGCGGCGUGCUUAACACAUGCAAGUCGAACGGAAAGGCCCUGCUUUUGUGGGGUUCUCGAGUGGCGAACGGGUGAGUAACACGUGAGUAACCUGCCCUUGACUUUGGGAUAACUUCAGGAAACUGGGGCUAAUACCGGAUAGGAGCUCCUUCUGCAUGGUGGGGGUUGUAAAGUUUCGGCGGUUGGGGAUGGACUCGCGGCUUAUCAGCUUGUUGGUGGGGUAGUGGCUUACCAAGGCUUUGACGGGUAGCCGGCCUGAGAGGGUGACCGGCCACAUUGGGACUGAGAUACGGCCCAGACUCCUACGGGAGGCAGCAGUGGGGAAUAGUGCAAAAUGGGCGGAAGCCUGAUGCAGCAACGCCGCGUGCGGGAUGACGGCCUUCGGGUUGUAAACCGCUUUCGCCUGUGACGAAGCGUGAGUGACGGUAAUGGGUAAAGAAGCACCGGCUAACUACGUG
rnacentral:rRNA from 1 species